rnacentral:lncRNA from 1 species
UUGGUUUUUGUUUUUUUUUAUUAUUAUGAAAAAUCCAUGUAAUAAUCUGAUAUUACAAUCCAAAUUCAGACCUGUAUCAAGCACAUAAUUUUUAUAUGUCCAUUUGCCCAAACUGUUCAGGGUUUGACCUGAGUCAGAGUGGUCGUAUCAAGCUGUGCUCAGCGAAGCAUUUUAUUUGUCUUACAAUUCAGUAUAUCUUAGCACACAUCUUAAUGAGACUUAUUAUUCACUGUUAUAAUAAUUUCAAUAAUGUUUUAUUUUUUUACUAUAAGCAUAGCUUAUAAAUUAUAUGGUUAAUGGAAAUUUAUUUUUGUUUAUAAUCAAUCAUAGGCCCAACACAAUGUGUCAUUAUAAAUACACAUAUUGAUUUCUCCAAAUAAAUUUUGCAUGUUAGAUGAAUUUUAAAAUCAUGUUAAUGUCAACACUCAGAUGGU